GAGCACCAAUUAUGCUAAUAAAUUAGCACGUUAGCACGUUAUUGUAAUAUCCCAUAGUACAUACAUGUUAUUAAAACUUGAACUAAUGCACUGUGAGUCUUAUAAAUUGCUUACAUACCUCACCGAUUUCUGCAUGUCUGGAAAACGCUCGGAUUUAGUUCCUGUCUCCGCCUCCCAAAAUGUCUAGUGUAUUCGGAUUGGUCAGAUGACUACUCAACUGUUAUUGGUCAACUGGGUUCGGCGUGUGUUUGAAAGGUUACGCCCCUGACUACGCGUGGGUUUUCCGGUUCUGACUGAGAGUCACAGGCAACGUAAACAAGCGCUAUAUUUCUCUAUAAAUGAUGGUGUCUGUACUGCCUUACCACUUCAAGCUCGAUCCAGAGAGUUCAGACGGCAGUUACGAUAUAAACGAUCUCCGUCAAUGAACGCGAUUGGAUUUAACUUUUUUAGGUGUCCUUAGCUCUGCCAGAAUGCUAAACGAAGACGAAAAUGUGUUGCAAAGACAUCCAAAAGGUUUUAAGGAGAAUGCAACAGGUUCCAGGGCCUCUUACCUGCGUGAUUCAUCAUCCAGGUUUUGCACAAAUUGUCUAAAUCCCUACACACAGAACAUUUAUUGUACCGACUAUAAGCCUUUGAGGUGCAGGACUAGAAUACGCUUGGAGCUUCCUGAUCAGAUCGGUCACAAUUUUGGCUUUCGACGACCCCUGCACUGAAGAUGGCAUGCAAUCACGUCCUCUUUUGAAGGUCUCUCAAACUGUGAUGCCAGGUCCAUUGGAAUCAGGGCUUCC